UACGUAGGGGGCAAGCGUUGUCCGGAAUCAUUGGGCGUAAAGAGCGUGUAGGCGGCCCGAUAAGUCCGCCGUGAAAGUCCAGGGCUCAACCCCUGGGAUGCCGGUGGAAACUGUCGGGCUAGAGUCCGGAAGAGGCGAGUGGAAUUCCUGGUGUAGCGGUGAAAUGCGCAGAUAUCAGGAAGAACACCCGUGGCGGAAGGCGGCUCUCUGGGACGGUACUGACGCUGAGACGCGAAAGCGUGGGGAGCGAACAGG
rnacentral:rRNA from 1 species